AUGCCCGCCGCGGCGCGCUCCGGUGGACCGGGGCAGGCCAACAUUAUGAUGGGGAGGAGGAAGUUGCAAGCAGUGACCUUGGCGAUCUUGUGUUUCUGGUCAUCUGCUGGGGCACAAACAGUGGAUUUCAAGCCUGCCGACAACUACCUGGUUGACUGUGGGUCUGCCAAGGGCACGACGGUUCUCGGGAGGGACUUCGCUGCCGAUGGGGCAUCUCCGGUGACAGUGUCAACCUCCCAAGAUAUUCUUGCCGGCACCUCGGCCAACGGGGUGUCCUCGUUUGACAACCCGCUGCUUUACCAGACCGCCCGCAUCUUCACGAGCCCGUCAUCCUAUACUUUUCCUAUCCAGAAGCAGGGGCGGCAUUUUGUUCGUCUCUACUUCUUCCCCUUCAUCUACCAGAGUUAUGAUCUCUCCACCGCCAAGUUCACUGUGUCGACCCAAGAUGUGCUCCUGCUCAGUGAUUUCCAGCAGCCGGACAAAACUGCGCCGCUGUUCAAGGAAUACUCUUUGAACAUCACCCGUGACCAGCUUGUCAUUUCCUUCAAGCCGUCAAACGGGAUUGCAUUCAUCAACGCAAUUGAAGUGGUUUCUGUUCCAGAUGAUCUCAUAGCUGAUGUAGCCAAUAUGGUCAACCCUGUGCAGCAGUACAGCGGUUUGACUACACAGUCACUGGAGACGGUGUAUCGUGUCAACAUGGGUGGUCCGAAGGUCUUCCCGAGCAAUGAUACCCUCUCGAGGACUUGGCAGAAGGAUCAGAAGUACAUACUGAACCCCAGUGUGACCAAAACUGCCCAAUAUGGCAAGCCUAUCAAGUAUAGGAAAGGCGGGGCAACUCCACUGACGGCCCCAGAUAUUGUGUACAGUACAGCUACAGAAUUGGCGGCUGCAAACACUUCCAACGCACUUUUCAACAUGACAUGGCAGUUUGAUGUGGAUGCAGGCUUCAGCUAUCUGAUAAGAUUUCACUUCUGUGAUAUAGUCAGCAAGGCACUGAACCAGCUCUACUUCAAUGCAUAUGUGGGAGGCUUCUUUGCACAGCAUGAUCUUGAUCUCUCAGAGCAAUCGGUGAAUCAACUGGCUACAGCUAUCUAUGUUGACGUGGUUCUUUCUUCCAAUGAUGCAUCUAGCAAGCUCAGCAUCAGUAUUGGUCCGUCCACCUUGAACAAUGCAUUGCCUGAUGGGAUUCUGAAUGGCCUGGAGAUUAUGAAGAUGGGCAGUGGCUCUGGUUCUGCUUUCACUGUUGGGAAUAACGGUUCAAACAAAAGGUUGCCCAUAAUUAUUGGCUCAGUCCUUGGGGUUGUUGGGCUUCUGAUAAUUGUCCUUGUUGUGGUACUGCUUUGCCGGAGGAAGAAGACCGACGACAAGCAGCACUCGAAGACCUGGAUGCCUUUCUCUAUCAAUGGGCUCACGUCUCUCAGUACAGGAAGCAGAACUUCCUAUGGUACUACACUAACAUCAGGUCUGAAUGGAAGCUAUGGAUAUCGGUUUGCCUUCAAUGUGCUCCAAGAAGCAACAAACAAUUUUGAUGAGAGCUGGGUGAUUGGAGUCGGAGGUUUUGGGAAAGUCUACAAGGGUGCCUUGAGGGAUGACACAAAGGUUGCAGUGAAGCGAGGAAACCCCAAGUCCCAGCAAGGUCUCAAUGAGUUCCGGACAGAGAUCGAGCUCCUUUCACGUCUGCGUCACCGCCACCUGGUGUCUCUUAUUGGGUACUGUGAUGAAAGGAAUGAGAUGAUCUUGGUCUAUGAGUACAUGGAGAACGGAACCGUCAAGAGCCACCUGUAUGGUUCAGACAACCCCUCACUCAACUGGAAGCAACGCCUGGAGAUCUGCAUUGGAGCAGCAAGGGGGCUACACUAUCUUCAUACAGGUUCUGCGAAGGCCAUUAUCCACCGUGAUGUCAAGUCUGCAAACAUCUUGCUUGAUGAAAAUCUCCUUGCCAAAGUCGCCGACUUUGGGCUGUCAAAGACCGGGCCUGAGCUGGAUCAGACUCAUGUCAGCACUGCAGUGAAGGGUAGCUUUGGUUACCUUGACCCUGAAUACUUCCGAAGGCAGCAGCUGACUGAGAAGUCGGACGUCUACUCCUUCGGUGUUGUCAUGCUGGAGGUGCUCUGCGCGAGGCCGGUGAUCGACCCUUCGCUCCCGAGGGAAAUGGUGAACUUGGCAGAGUGGGGAAUGAAGUGGCAGAAGAGAGGAGAGCUGCACCAGAUCGUCGACCAGAAGCUUUCCGGCGCGAUCAGGCCGGACUCUCUGAGGAAGUUCGGUGAGACGGUGGAGAAGUGCCUGGCAGACUACGGCGUGGAGCGGCCGUCGAUGGGGGACGUCCUCUGGAACUUGGAGUAUGUCCUGCAGCUCCAGGAUGUGGAUUCUUCGACCGUGUCGGACGUGAACAGCAUGAACCGGAUCGUCGACCUGUCGUCGCAGGUUCAACAUGUGGGUGCCAUGGAGAGCAUCAGCGUGACGAUGGCGGAGGACGGAGCUUUGCACGAGCCUGACCACGACCUCUCCGACGUGUCGAUGAGCAGGGUUUUCUCACAGCUGAUCAAAGCCGAGGGGAGGUGA
rnacentral:rRNA from 1 species